rnacentral:rRNA from 1 species
GACAGAGGGUGCAAACGUUGUUCGGAAUUACUGGGCGUAAAGCGAGUGUAGGCGGUUCGGUAAGUCGGAUGUGAAAGCCCCGGGCUCAACCCGGGAAGUGCACUCGAUACUGCCGAGCUAGAGUAUCGGAGAGGUUGGUGGAAUUCUCGGUGUAGAGGUGAAAUUCGUAGAUAUCGAGAGGAACACCGGUGGCGAAGGCGGCCAACUGGACGAAUACUGACGCUGAGACUCGAAAGCGUGGGGAGCAAACGGG